GGCGCAGGUAGGCGGCCUGCGAGAGUCAGAAGACGCGGCAGUGCUGGUGAGGGGGGAUGGGGGGCGCAGGCGCAGGUAGGCGGCCUGCGAGAGUCAGAAGACGCGCCAGUGCUGGUGAGGGGGGAUGCGGCCAGAAGGAAGAGCCCAGGAUGAGUGUGGAUGUGAUGAAUUGUGUGGUCGAUCCUGGAUGUGGAAGGACUAGUCAUUAUAUGUGCGGCAAGAAGGACUGAGAGCAAGGGGAGUCCAAGUUGCUGACUAGCUUCUUGCUUGUGCAGGUACUUCUGAUGCACUCUGAAGUAACUUACUAUAUUGGAAGAAAAAUAGGAGCCAUCAGACAGUCAGAGAAACACAAGUGCAGCUCCACAGGUGUGUGUGCCUCUAACCUCAAGUUCCUGCUCUUUGAGGCUGUCAGCUGCAUUUUCCUGCAGAACGCCCCACUCCACGCCUAGGAACCCCCGCCCUCCUGGUCUGUACCUGCCACCUGAAGAUUUGGUCCCUGCCUAACAGCAAAAAGAAAGGUUCUACUGCUUUGACCACUAAACUAUGGUCAUGAUCUCCUUGCGGGCAGGGACAGAGCGUCCCAUCACUCUACCCCUGUCUUAGUUCAGUGUUUAGUGUGUGAGAAGCAAUGUAAACGUUGAGUGAGUGAAUGGAAAUCUGCCGUGACAUCUGUAUCUGCUGGCUAGGGCUGCCUUAAUAAACUACAGAAAACCAGGUGACUUCAACGACAGCACUUACUGUCUCACAGUUCUGGAGGCUAGAAGUCCGAAGACGUCAGUGGGCUUGGUUCCUCGUGGGUCUGUGACGAAGGAUCUGUUCCAGGUUUCUCUUGUUGACUUGUAAUGGCCAUCUUCUCCUUAUUACUCACAUCACCUCCCUGC